CCUACGGGAGGCAGCAGUGAGGAAUAUUGGUCAAUGGACGAGAGUCUGAACCAGCCAAGUAGCGUGAAGGAUGACUGCCCUAUGGGUUGUAAACUUCUUUUAUAAAGGAAUAAAACGAGGCACGUGUGCCUUUUUGCAUGUACUUUAUGAAUAAGGAUCGGCUAACUCCGUGCCAGCAGCCGCGGUAAUACGGAGGAUCCGAGCGUUAUCCGGAUUUAUUGGGUUUAAAGGGAGCGUAGAUGGGUUGUUAAGUCAGUUGUGAAAGUUUGCGGCUCAACCGUAAAAUUGCAAUUGAUACUGGCAGUCGUGAGUACAGUUGAGGGAGGCGGAAUUCGUGGUGUAGCGGUGAAAUGCUUAGAUAUCACGAAGAACCCCGAUUGCGAAGGCAGCUUACUAAACUGUGACUGACAUUGAUGCUCGAAAGUGUGGGUAUCAAACAGGAUUAGAUACCCGGGUAGUC
rnacentral:rRNA from 1 species